CUUUUCCUGCAAGAGAAAGUGUGAUGAGAACUUCUUUUGCAGUUAAUGUUUUCAUGAAAGUCUUCAUUUGAUAUCUGAAUCACAUUCACGUGUGAAAAUGGUUCAUGGACUGUCCUGAAAUGCCAACUGUCUGUCAAUGUCAUCCAUCAAGGGUUGAACAAGGACUCACUCUGACAGACAUCUGUGCCUUAAAGCACACCCAUGGGUUAUGCCAUACCACGAUAUCCUUCUCCAUGAAUCAAAUCUCUGAGCAACUACCUCGCUUAGAAGCUACUUUUGGAGAGCAGAGUUCAGAAAGAAGCAGUUUUCCUUCUCCAGGAAGGCUGGGUGGCACAUCCUACAGAGUAUGAGACAGUGA